rnacentral:rRNA from 1 species
UGCAAGUCGAGCGAGUGAAUCUCCUUCGGGAGUGAAGCUAGCGGCGGACGGGUGAGUAACACGUGGGCAACCUGCCUCAUAGAGGGGAAUAGCCUUCCGAAAGGAAGAUUAAUACCGCAUAAGAUUGUAGCUUCGCAUGAAGUAGCAAUUAAAGGAGCAAUCCGCUAUGAGAUGGGCCCGCGGCGCAUUAGCUAGUUGGUGAGGUAACGGCUCACCAAGGCGACGAUGCGUAGCCGACCUGAGAGGGUGAUCGGCCACAUUGGGACUGAGACACGGCCCAGACUCCUACGGGAGGCAGCAGUGGGGAAUAUUGCACAAUGGGGGAAACCCUGAUGCAGCAACGCCGCGUGAGUGAUGACGGCCUUCGGGUUGUAAAGCUCUGUCUUCAGGGACGAUAAUGACGGUACCUGAGGAGGAAGCCACGGCUAACUACGUGCCAGCAGCCGCGGUAAUACGUAGGUGGCGAGCGUUGUCCGGAUUUACUGGGCGUAAAGGGAGCGUAGGCGGACUUUUAAGUGAGAUGUGAAAUACCCGGGCUCAACUUGGGUGCUGCAUUUCAAACUGGAAGUCUAGAGUGCAGGAGAGGAGAAUGGAAUUCCUAGUGUAGCGGUGAAAUGCGUAGAGAUUAGGAAGAACACCAGUGGCGAAGGCGAU